rnacentral:rRNA from 1 species
GACGAACGCUGGCGGCGUGCUUAACACAUGCAAGUCGAGCGGCAAGGUCCUGCUUUUGUGGGACGCUUGAGUGCCAAAGGGGUGCGUAACACGUGCGCAACCUGACCCUGACUUUGGCCUAACUUCAGGAAGCUGGGGCUAAGACUGGAUAGGAGUGCCUGCUGUAGAGUGGGGGCUGGAAAGGUGCGGGGGUUGGGGGACUAGCGGCGGAUAUGCGUGUUGGUGGGGUGGUGGCUGACCAAGGCUUCACCGGGGAGCCGGCCUGAGAGGGUGACCGGCCACAUGGGGACUGUGAUACGGCCCGGAGUCCUACGGAAGACAGCAGUGGGGAAUAUUGCCCAAUGGAGGGAAGCCUGAUGCAGCAACGCCGCGUGCGGGGUGACGGCCUUCGGGUUUGAAACCACUUUCGCCUGUGACGAUGCGUGUUUGACGGUAAUGGAUAAAGAAGCACCGGCUAACUACGUG